UACGUAGGGGGGCUAGCGUUGUCCGGAAUCAUUGGGCGUAAAGCGCGUGUAGGCGGCCCGGUAAGUCCGCUCUGAAAGUCCAGGGCUCAACCCUGGAAAGCGGGUGGAUACUGCCGGGCUAGAAUCCGGAAGAGGCGAGUGGAAUUCCUGGUGUAGCGUGGAAUGCGCAGAUAUCAGGAGGAACACCAAUAGCGAAGGCAGCUCGCUGGGACGGUAUUGACGCUAAGGCGCGAAAGCGUGGGGAGCAAACAGG
rnacentral:rRNA from 1 species